GUCUUAUUGAUUAUAAUUUUAAGUCUAAUCUGCCCAGUGAUUUAUUAAAUGGCUGCAGUAUUUUAACUGUACAAAGGUAGCAUAAUAAUUAGUUUCUUAAUUAGAAACUGGAAUGAAAGAUUGAACGAGACAAUAACUGUCUUAAUUUAAAUUUAAGAAAUUUAUUUUUAAGUUAAAAAGCUUAAAUAUUUUUAAAAGACGAGAAGACCCUAUAGAAUUUUAUAUUAUUAUUAUAUUUAAAUUUUAGUAUAUAAAUUUUAAAUUUUUUUAAAGGUAUUUAGUUGGGGUGAUUGGAAAAUUUAUUUAACUUUUUUUAUUGUGAAUCAUUUAUUUAUGUUUUUUUGAUCCAAAUUUUUUGAUUAUAAGAUUAAAUUACCUUAGGGAUAACAGCGUAAUUUUUUUAGAGAGUUCUUAUCGAUAAAAGAGAUUGCGACCUCGAUGUUGGAUUAAAGUUAAUUUUUAAUGUAGAAGUUAAAAUAUUAGGUCUGUUCGACCUUUAAAACUUUACAUGAUCUGAGUUUAAAUCGGCGUGAGCCAGGUUGGAUUCUAUCUUUAAUAAGUUUUAAUAUU
rnacentral:rRNA from 1 species